rnacentral:tRNA from 1 species
GUCGGGAUAGCUCANCUGGUANAGCAGAGGACUGAAAAUC